rnacentral:rRNA from 1 species
UACGAAGGGGGCUAGCGUUGCUCGGAAUCACUGGGCGUAAAGGGUGCGUAGGCGGGUCUUUAAGUCAGGGGUGAAAUCCUGGAGCUCAACUCCAGAACUGCCUUUGAUACUGAAGAUCUUGAGUUCGGGAGAGGUGAGUGGAACUGCGAGUGUAGAGGUGAAAUUCGUAGAUAUUCGCAAGAACACCAGUGGCGAAGGCGGCUCACUGGCCCGAUACUGACGCUGAGGCACGAA